UUUAAACCUUAGUUUAUUAUCUAUGGUUAAUUUAACUGAGUUGGGUGUAUACACCCGGUGCGGGUAAGUUUUUUCCAUCACAAAGUGUCGUCCACCCUUAUUUUUAGCUCAGCUGGCGGUCCAGGUAAGUGUUUUAUAAACACUUAGACCAUUUUAUUUCACACCCAAAUCCCACACACCCACGCACAAAUCUCACAACACACACAAUCAGCAACGACAUACAAGAACGCAGCAUGAACUGCCCGCAAUCAGAACCAAAAAAAACUCUCUGUCUCUCUCUCUUCUCAAGUGAUCCGAUUUCCAAGCCUCGGAAGCUAGAGUUCUUCAACCAACACUUUAGAAGAGAAGAUUGGAGCACUUUAAUCAGCAAACUCUUAACCCUUUCUUCACUUCCUUGUUAUGUAUUGCAUAUUUAAGUAUGUUGUAUUUUAUUCUCUCACUUGAAUCUUGUUUAUGAGAAUAUUCAUUAUCAAGUGUUGAAUUAAAUCUCUUGUUUUGCUUAUGUAUUGAACAAUUUUUAUUGCUAAUGAAGUGGGUCUUUGUUUCUUUAAUUAA